rnacentral:lncRNA from 1 species
CUGGCCGGGCGGGACUAUUUUUUUCUCGGCCAGUGUUCUCUCAGCUGCCGGGAAGGAACAUUCUUGGCUCUCCCCGCCUGGCUGCGCCUGUUCCCGCUCCUCCCCCGCCGCGUGUUUUCCGCCCCAGUAAAGAUCGUGCCAUACAAAUAAGCCCCGAAUGCCCUUUGCCGAGCGGGCGGGAGGGCAGCGAGUGCAGAGCCCGAGUGGGCCAUUUUCAGGGCGCGUCUCCGGUGCCUCUAAAAGUAUUGUUUUCUCCCCAAGUGGAAGGUGUAGGGGGUGGGGGCGGCGUGGGGCUGCUUCCAACUGCUACACACGCUCGAAUAGUUGUCAGUAAAAUCAAACUGACGUCAGCCCGGGGGAAAAAGGUCUCUUUUGUUCUCCGGUUCUUCUCCCCCCUCUCCUCCCUUGCGAUCAAAGGCAAAAAACAUUUUUUGGAGGUGGGGGAAAAGACAAAAAGGAAAAAAAAAAAAUUGCAGUGCAAAGAGAUAGCUUCCAUUAGAGCUCCUGCCCUGGCGAUGGGAAUGUUUAAUGAAUGCAUCAAGUCUUUUGAUCACCCUCGCUCGGCUGGGUUCAGUAGUGCCGGAAGUGACCUCACAAGGAACCAUGGCAUCUUCAGUCAUGUUGUCUGGUGGAUCCUCCUUGACUCUGAACUACAGCUGAAGUGAUGCUAAAUGACUUCCAAUCCUGACUCCUAAGAGUCUUGCUGUUUCUUGGAAUGCUGGCUGUUGGGACACUCCCUCUGAGGACCCAGCUGUAAUCUUCAAGAAUGGAGAAUUGUGUGUAGGUGAGUUGCACACAGGUGGGUAGGUUGAUAACACUCAAGUUGCUCUCAACAAUAUUCUCUCUGCUAAAGACAAUAUCAGUUGUGAAUUUUGUGAAUUAGCCAUGUUGGGUAUCUAGCGCCCCUAACACCACAUGCACCAGGGCCUUUGCACUGAACUACCUUGCCAGCCC